GUUGUAUGGUUAAGUGACUAAGCGUACAUGGUGGAUGCCUUGGCAGUCAGAGGCGAUGAAGGACGUACUAACCUGCGAUAAGCCGUGAGCAGUCGGUAAGAGACAUUACGACUCACGGAUUUCCGAAUGGGGAAACCCACUUAGCAUAAGCUAGGUAUCGCUACGUGAAUACAUAGCGUAGCGAGGCGAACCGGGAGAACUGAAACAUCUAAGUACCCCGAGGAAAAGAAAUCAACCGAGAUUCCCUCAGUAGCGGCGAGCGAACGGGGAUUAGCCCUUAAGCAUCUUGGAAGUUAGUGGAACGGUCCUGGAAAGGCCGGCGAUACAGGGUGAUAGCCCCGUACACGAAAACAACCUUGAUGUGAAAUCGAGUAGGGCGGGACACGUGACAUCCUGUCUGAAUAUGGGGGACCAUCCUCCAAGGCUAAAUACUCCUGACUGACCGAUAGUGAACCAGUACCGUGAGGGAAAGGCGAAAAGAACCCCUGUGAGGGGAGUGAAAUAGAACCUGAAACCGUGUACGUACAAGCAGUGGGAGCCCUUCGGGGUGACUGCGUACCUUUUGUAUAAUGGGUCAGCGACUUACAUUUUGUAGCGAGGUUAACCGUAUAGGGGAGCCGUAGGGAAACCGAGUCUUAACUGGGCGUCUAGUUGCAAGGUGUAGACCCGAAACCGGGUGAUCUAGCCAUGGGCAGGUUGAAGGUUGAGUAACAUCAACUGGAGGACCGAACCCACUAACGUUGCAAAGUUAGGGGAUGACCUGUGGCUGGGGGUGAAAGGCCAAUCAAACUCGGAGAUAGCUGGUUCUCCCCGAAAGCUAUUUAGGUAGCGCCUCGGACGAAUACUACUGGGGGUAGAGCACUGUUUGGGCUAGGGGGUCAUCCCGACUUACCAACCCCAUGCAAACUCCGAAUACCAGUAAGUAAUAUCCGGGAGACACACGGCGGGUGCUAACGUCCGUCGUGAAGAGGGAAACAACCCAGACCGCCGGCUAAGGUCCCAAAGUUCUGGUUAAGUGGGAAACGAUGUGGGAAGGCUCAGACAGCUAGGAUGUUGGCUUAGAAGCAGCCAUCAUUUAAAGAAAGCGUAAUAGCUCACUAGUCGAGUCGGCCUGCGCGGAAGAUGUAACGGGGCUCAAACCAGGCACCGAAGCCGCGGAUUCACACUAAGUGUGAGUGGUAGGGGAGCGUUCUGUAAGUCUGCGAAGGUGUGUCGAGAGGCAUGCUGGAGAUAUCAGAAGUGCGAAUGCUGACGUAAGUAACGAUAAAGGGGGUGAAAAGCCUCCUCGCCGGAAGACCAAGGGUUCCUGUCCAACGUUAAUCGGGGCAGGGUGAGUCGACCCCUAAGGCGAGGCCGAAAGGCGUAGUCGAUGGGAAGCAGGUUAAUAUUCCUGCACGACUUGUAAUUGCGAUGGGGGGACGGAGAAGGCUAGGUGGGCCAGGCGACGGUUGUCCUGGUGAAAGUGCGUAGGUGGUGUUUCUAGGCAAAUCCGGAGACACAACACUGAGACACGAGACGAACACACUACGGUGUGGAAGCCAUUGAUGCCCUGCUUCCAGGAAAAGCCUCUAAGCUUCAGAUUACAAGUCAUCGUACCCCAAACCGACACAGGUGGUCGGGUAGAGAAUACCAAGGCGCUUGAGAGAACUCGGGUGAAGGAACUAGGCAAAAUAGAACCGUAACUUCGGGAGAAGGUUCGCUCUUGACAGUGAAGUCCCUUGCGGAUGGAGCAGUUGGGAGUCGCAGUGACCAGAUGGCUGGGACUGUUUAUCAAAAACACAGCACUCUGCAAACACGAAAGUGGACGUAUAGGGUGUGACACCUGCCCGGUGCCGGAAGGUUAAUUGAUGGGGUUAGCGCAAGCGAAGCUCUUGAUCGAAGCCCCGGUAAACGGCGGCCGUAACUAUAACGGUCCUAAGGUAGCGAAAUUCCUUGUCGGGUAAGUUCCGACCUGCACGAAUGGUGUAACCAUGGCCAUGCUGUCUCCACCCGAGACUCAGUGAAAUCGAAUUCGCCGUGAAGAUGCGGUGUACCCGCGGCUAGACGGAAAGACCCCGUGAACCUUUACUACAGCUUGGCACUGAACAUUGAACCUACAUGUGUAGGAUAGGUGGGAGGCUUUGAAGGCGUGACGCCAGUUGCGCUGGAGCCGUCCUUGAAAUACCACCCUUGUAUGUUUGAUGUUCUAACGCAGGCCCGUGAAUCCGGGUCGCGGACAGUGCCUGGUGGGUAGUUUGACUGGGGCGGUCUCCUCCCAAAGAGUAACGGAGGAGCACGAAGGUUGGCUAAUCCUGGUCGGACAUCAGGAGGUUAGUGCAAUGGCAUAAGCCAGCUUAACUGCGAGACGGACAGGUCGAGCAGGUACGAAAGUAGGUCAUAGUGAUCCGGUGGUUCUGAAUGGAAGGGCCAUCGCUCAACGGAUAAAAGGUACUCCGGGGAUAACAGGCUGAUACCGCCCAAGAGUUCAUAUCGACGGCGGUGUUUGGCACCUCGAUGUCGGCUCAUCACAUCCUGGGGCUGAAGUCGGUCCCAAGGGUAUGGCUGUUCGCCAUUUAAAGUGGUACGCGAGCUGGGUUCAGAACGUCGUGAGACAGUUCGGUCCCUAUCUGCCGUGGGCGUUGGAUGAUUGAAGGGAGUUGCUCCUAGUACGAGAGGACCGGAGUGAACGAACCUCUGGUGUUCGGGUUGUCACGCCAGUGGCACUGCCCGGUAGCUAAGUUCGGAAUCGAUAACCGCUGAAAGCAUCUAAGCGGGAAGCGAGCCCUGAGAUGAGUCAUCCCUGACCCCUUGAGGGUCCUAAAGGGCCGUUGGAGACCACAACGUUGAUAGGUGGGGUGUGUAAGCGCGGCGACGUGUUGAGCUAACCCAUACUAAUUACCCGUGAGGCUUAACCAUACAACACCCAAGAAGUGUUCU
rnacentral:rRNA from 1 species